UGCUCUCAUGCUAGCCCUCCCUCCUCUCUUCUUCUUCUGCUUCUUUUCCCUGCCACCUUCUCUCCGCGAUCAGCUUCUUCUCCCCGUUUUGUGGCAGAUUACUGUAACGCUAUUGUACAACAACUUCCUGCCUCUUUUGGCUCCGCUUCUAAAAAACACUGAGAAAAGGGCAGAGCUCGUGGGCUCAAACUUUUUUCUUCUCCUUCUUCUUCCCCCCCUCUCCUUUCCCUUCGGCCUCAAACCAGAGCAGCUUCUAUACGGAGAGGAAAAAGGACAUGUUAAAAAAAAAACAACCAAAAAACAGAGAGAGUCUGUUACAGAGGAACUAUUCUGAUUUCAUUUCUGCUUUCUAAACUGCUGGCUCGGGGAGUUGAGGAGGGCGAGCGGGGACUAGCAGAGACAAUGGGAGGAAAAAAAAAAGAAAAGGAUUUCAAAAGAACCCGAGGAGGAAGAGGAGCAGAGGAGAGGCUGGAGACGGAGGACCUGCUCGACAGCAGAGCUCAGAGUGGACAACCCUGCCUGGGAGGGACGCGCCCUCACUGAAGCCACCGACUACUUUUGGCAGCCCCCCUCAGGAGCCGGCCACAUUGUGCCGGACCGGCACCGCGUUCAAGCGUCAGGCUCAACGUGACGCAGUUCAGGCAGCAGAUCCACAUGAGUGUCGCCAAUGUCUCAUUUAGAAGCGUUAAUAAAGACAAUUUAAACACGAAUUAACGCGUUCCUCUGACGCAGAGGAGAUCGAAAUUGUUUUUACAAUCAAGCACAAAGUUUUGUGAAUUUUUUAUUUAUUUACUGUGACUCAGCAAGGGGAUAGCGCAAUUUAAACACGUUACUACAAAGAUUUGAAACAAAAAUGUAAGACAUAAUCUACAGUUUUAAUUUAAAAGAGGAAAGCAAUAACAUUCCUACUGCUGGUAAAAUAAAACAAGGAGGAUUAUAGCUAAAAGGAUUACAUUCCUUUAAUCUUUUGUAUGUUGACACUUGGUAACUUAAAUAAAUGCUUGCUAUGUAGAAAAUCA